GAUGAAGAACGUAGCGAAAUGCGAUACGUAAUGUGAAUUGCAAAUUCAGUGAAUCAUCGAGUCUUUGAACGCACAUUGCGCCCCCUGGUAUUCCGGGGGGCAUGCCUGUCCGAGCGUCAUUGCUGCCCUCAAGCACGGCUUGUGUGUUGGGCCCCGUCCUCCGAUCCCGGGGGACGGGCCCGAAAGGCAGCGGCGGCACCGCGUCCGGUCCUCGAGCGUAUGGGGCUUUGUCACCCGCUCUGUAGGCCCGGCCGGCGCUUGCCGAUCAACCCAAAUUUUUAUCCAGGUUGACCUCGGAUCAGGUAGGGAUACCCGCUGAACUUAAGCAUAUCAAUGGAGGA
rnacentral:misc_RNA from 1 species